UCAGGCCUAACACAUGCAAGUCGAACGGUAACGCAGGGCAACCUGGCGACGAGUGGCGAACGGGUGAGUAAAGUAUCGGAACGUGCCCAGUAGUGGGGGAUAGCCCGACGAAAGCCGGAUUAAUACCGCAUGAGACCUGAGGGUGAAAGCGGGGGAUCGCAAGACCUCGCGCUAUUGGAGCGGCCGAUAUCAGAUUAGGUAGUUGGUGGGGUAAAGGCCUACCAAGCCGACGAUCUGUAGCUGGUCUGAGAGGACGACCAGCCACACUGGGACUGAGACACGGCCCAGACUCCUACGGGAGGCAGCAGUGGGGGAUUUUGGACAAUGGGCGCAAGCCUGAUCCAGCCAGGCCGCGUGCGGGAAGAAGGCCUUCGGGUUUAAACCGAUGGGUCAGGGAAGAAAUCUUCUGGCUAAUACCUCGGGAGG
rnacentral:rRNA from 1 species